UUCCACGUGCCGAACAUCGUUUUGUCCCCGAGGCCAUCGAGAACAGAACAUGCGCGCGCUCCUCUUGUUUGCCGCGGACAGUCCGGAGGAUCGUCCAUUUCCGGUGAACUCGUCCAGGAAAUCUUACGCAUGCCGAGCUUCGUUUUAUCCCAGAACCGGUCAAGAAGGGCUCGUCGGGUUCGUUGCUGUAGAAGGAGCCGGAGGAUCGUCCAUUUCCGGUCCUGACCCGCAGAAAAUCGUCCAAGCGUGGAACAUCGUUUUGUCCCCGAGGCCAUCAAGAACAGAACAUACGCGCGCUCCUCUUGUUUGCCGCGGACAGUCCGGAGGAUCGUCCAUUUCCGGUGAACUCGUCCAGGAAAUCUUCCACGUGCCGAACAUCGUUUUGUCCCCGAGGCCAUCGAGAACAGAACAUGCGCGCGCUCCUCUUGUUUGCCGCGGACAGUCCGGAGGAUCGUCCAUUUCCGGUGAACUCGUCCAGGAAAUCUUACGCAUGCCGAGCUUCGUUUUAUCCCAGAACCGGUCAAGAAGGGCUCGUCGGGUUCGUUGCUGUAGAAGGAGCCGGAGGAUCGUCCAUUUCCGGUCCUGACCCGCAGAAAAUCGUCCAAGCGUGGAACAUCGUUUUGUCCCCGAGGCCAUCAAGAACAGAACAUGCGCGCGCUCCUCUUGUUUGCCACGGACAUUCCGGAGGAUCGUCCAUUUCCGGUGAACUCGUCCAGGAAAUCUUACGCAUGCCGAGCUUCGUUUUAUCCCAGAACCGGUCAAGAAGGGCUCGUCGGGUUCGUUGCUGUAGAAGGAGCCGGAGGAUCGUCCAUUUCCGGUCCUGACCCGCAGAAAAUCGUCCAAGCGUGGAACAUCGUUUUGUCCCCGAGGCCAUCAACAACAGAACAUGCGCGCGCUCCUCUUUUUUGCCGCGGACAGUCCGGAGGAUCGUCCAUUUCCGGUGAACUCGUCCAGGAAAUCUUACGCAUGCCGAGCUUCGUUUUAUCCCAGAACCGGUCAAGAAGGGCUCGUCGGGUUCGUUGCUGUAGAAGGAGCCGGAGGAUCGUCCAUUUCCGGUCCUGACCCGCAGAAAAUCGUCCAAGCGUGGAACAUCGUUUUGUCCCCGAGGCCAUCAAGAACAGAACAUGCGCGCGCUCCUCUUGUUUGCCACGGACAUUCCGGAGGAUCGUCCAUUUCCGGUGAACUCGUCCAGGAAAUCUUCCACGUGCCGAACAUCGUUUUGUCCCCGAGGCCAUCAAGAACAGAACAUGCGCGCGCUCCUCUUGUUUGCCACGGACAUUCCGGAGGAUCGUCCAUUUCCGGUGAACUCGUCCAGGAAAUCUUACGCAUGCCGAGCUUCGUUUUAUCCCAGAACCGGUCAAAAAGGGCUCGUCGGGUUCGUUGCUGUAGAAGGAGCCGGAGGAUCGUCCAUUUCCGGUCCUGACCCGCAGAAAAUCGUCCAAGCGUGGAACAUCGUUUUGUCCCCGAGGCCAUCAAGAACAGAACAUACGCGCGCUCCUCUUGUUUGCCGCGGACAGUCCGGAGGAUCGUCCAUUUCCGGUGAACUCGUCCAGGAAAUCUUACGCAUGCCGAGCUUCGUUUUAUCCCAGAACCGGUCAAGAAGGGCUCGUCGGGUUCGUUGCUGUAGAAGGAGCCGGAGGAUCGUCCAUUUCCGGUCCUGACCCGCAGAAAAUCGUCCAAGCGUGGAACAUCGUUUUGUCCCCGAGGCCAUCGAGAACAGAACAUGCGCGCACUCCUCUUGUUCGCCACGGACAAGCCGGCGGAUCGUUCAUUUCCGGCAGGCUCCCUACGUAACUCUUUCACGUGCCGAGCUUUGUUUUGUUCCAGAACCAGCCUAAUCCGUGCAGCUUUUAGAUUAUCGACGACUGGGUCCCCCAGGCCCCUACUCGUUUUCGUGUUUCGCCGAGCGAAAUAACGAUUAGCCGUAUGCAUUUAAUACAUUCAGACAGCCUAAUAUAUGUAUUUACUACGAAAUUAUACUGAUUAAUGAA